AGUCCUGAGCCGGCUCUGAGCCACUGGAGUCAGAGGGCCCGGGCGCCUGCCUUCUCGGUGCGGGCUGGGGAGGACCUGCUCGCGAAGGGCUGCCAACUGAACUUUUCCUGCACCAGGGCUGACCGCAUUGUGGUGCAAAGUGACAAGUCGAGUGUUGACUUGGGGACUGCGAUGAGUAGCUGGACACUGCAUCUAUCACACCAGAUAUUGGGAGAUGCAGGGCAGAUGCUUCAUGCUUUCAGAGGUUUCCAAAGAUGGCCAGGCUGCUGCAGCCAUGAAGAUAUCCAGGGUGACUGGACAAAGGAGGUUAUGUUGUUCUUCACAAGUUUGUAAUCUAUCCAGUCAAUAUUAAGGAGCCCUACUACGUGAACUGUCAACGGAGUAGAAGUCAAGCAAAGGUGACUUGCUGCCUGCCACAUCUGCCUCCCGCUGUGAAAUCACAACAAGGCAACCACGAAUAGCUGGUAAAAGUCCCAGUCUUCAACGCAGUGGUGUAAUUUCCUAUGAUAAAUAGCUUGGAAGAAUGCUAAUCAAAAUUACUUUCUGGUUCUACCU
rnacentral:lncRNA from 1 species